AGUGAACGCUGGCGGUAGGCCUAACACAUGCAAGUCGAACGGCAGCACAGUAAGAGCUUGCUCUUACGGGUGGCGAGUGGCGGACGGGUGAGGAAUACAUCGGAAUCUACUUUUUCGUGGGGGAUAACGUAGGGAAACUUACGCUAAUACCGCAUACGACCUACGGGUGAAAGCAGGGGAUCUUCGGACCUUGCGCGAUUGAAUGAGCCGAUGUCGGAUUAGCUAGUUGGCGGGGUAAAGGCCCACCAAGGCGACGAUCUGUAGCUGGUCUGAGAGGAUGAUCAGCCCCACGGGACCUGGGACACGGUCCAGACCCCUACGGGGGGCAGGGGUGGGGAAUUUUGGAAAAUGGGGGCAAGCCUGAUCCAGCCAUCCCGCGUGGGUGAAGAAGGCCUUGGGGUUGUAAAGCCCUUUUGUUGGGAAAAAAAAGCAGCAGGUUAAACCCCCGCUGUUCUGACGGUACCCAAAAAAUAAGCACCGGCUAACUUCGU
rnacentral:rRNA from 1 species